UGGAAGGAAAGAGGUCUUUCAUGAAGAUACAGAACCAUGUUUAGUAGCCAAGGAUGACUUGCCUAUGUCCUCCUAGGAAAUCCGACGUGUAUAUACAUGUAUGGAAUCCCUUAUGUGGUUCAUAGGAAGUCUCCCUGGCUAGCUUGACUGGUUCUUGUCUAUCAUGUUUGACCUCCUUUCCUUCGUUUAGUAAUGGAAAUGGCUUAUACCAGCUCAAAUCCGAAUUCCAAAUCGAUAUGUUUCGCUCGAAAUAAUAUGAAUUCAGGCACAGUUUUCUACUCCGGUAAAAACACAAAAACUCUUCGAAUCAACAUUCUAUAAGAUGGAACUCAUUACACUCAGAAGCAGAGCUAACUCAGGCUAAGGGAACAACCGCCCCUACUAGGGGAUAUUGAAACCAGUUGGGGAAUAUCGAAAGUUCAAAUUCCAAUUACCAUUACCUAGACCCAUAUCUAUUCUAGACCUCUUAGUAUUGUACCUAAGUUAUUAUUUGUUCAUGUGAAAUCUUUACCAAAAAAAUCAGUGUCUUCUAGAUCAUAAUUAGAGACUAUGCUAUUAACUCAUCCAUAUGUGGAAGAUGAAGCUCCACUGUCAUUAUCAAUAAGAUGGAAAUUAAAAUCUCCUAGUAA